rnacentral:rRNA from 1 species
GGGUUGUGAGGUUAAGCGACUAAGCGUACACGGUGGAUGCCCUGGCAGUCAGAGGCGAUGAAGGACGUGCUAAUCUGCGAAAAGCGUCGGUAAGGUGAUAUGAACCGUUAUAACCGGCGAUGUCCGAAUGGGGAAACCCAGUGUGAUUCGUCACACUAUCGUUAACUGAAUACAUAGGUUAACGAGGCGAACCGGGGGAACUGAAACAUCUAAGUACCCCGAGGAAAAGAAAUCAACCGAGAUUCCCCCAGUAGCGGCGAGCGAACGGGGAGCAGCCCAGAGUCUGAAUCAGCUUGUGUGUUAGUGGAACGGUCUGGAAAGUCCGACGGUACAGGGUGAUAGUCCCGUACACCAAAAUGCACAGGUUGUGAACUCGAAGAGUAGGGCGGGACACGUGGUAUCCUGUCUGAAUAUGGGGGGACCAUCCUCCAAGGCUAAAUACUCCUGACUGACCGAUAGUGAACCAGUACCGUGAGGGAAAGGCGAAAAGAACCCCGGCGAGGGGAGUGAAAAAGAACCUGAAACCGUGUACGUACAAGCAGUGGGAGCACCUUCGGGUGUGACUGCGUACCUUUUGUAUAAUGGGUCAGCGACUUAUAUUCUGUAGCAAGGUUAACCGUAUAGGGGAGCCGCAGGGAAACCGAGUCUUAACUGGGCGUUAAGUUGCAGGGUAUAGACCCGAAACCCGGUGAUCUAGCCAUGGGCAGGUUGAAGGUUGGGUAACACUAACUGGAGGACCGAACCGACUAAUGUUGAAAAAUUAGCGGAUGACUUGUGGCUGGGGGUGAAAGGCCAAUCAAACCGGGAGAUAGCUGGUUCUCCCCGAAAGCUAUUUAGGUAGCGCCUCGUGAAUUCAUCUUCGGGGGUAGAGCACUGUUUCGGCUAGGGGGUCAUCCCGACUUACCAACCCGAUGCAAACUACGAAUACCGAAGAAUGUUAUCACGGGAGACACACGGCGGGUGCUAACGUCCGUCGUGAAGAGGGAAACAACCCAGACCGCCAGCUAAGGUCCCAAAGUCAUGGUUAAGUGGGAAACGAUGUGGGAAGGCACAGACAGCCAGGAUGUUGGCUUAGAAGCAGCCAUCAUUUAAAGAAAGCGUAAUAGCUCACUGGUCGAGUCGGCCUGCGCGGAAGAUGUAACGGGGCUAAACCAUGCACCGAAGCUGCGGCAGCGACACUAUGUGUUGUUGGGUAGGGGAGCGUUCUGUAAGCCUGCGAAGGUGGCCUGUGAGGGUUGCUGGAGGUAUCAGAAGUGCGAAUGCUGACAUAAGUAACGAUAAAGCGGGUGAAAAGCCCGCUCGCCGGAAGACCAAGGGUUCCUGUCCAACGUUAAUCGGGGCAGGGUGAGUCGACCCCUAAGGCGAGGCCGAAAGGCGUAGUCGAUGGGAAACAGGUUAAUAUUCCUGUACUUGGUGUUACUGCGAAGGGGGGACGGAGAAGGCUAUGUUAGCCGGGCGACGGUUGUCCCGGUUUAAGCAUGUAGGCUGAUUGUCCAGGCAAAUCCGGAUAAUCAAGGCUGAGGUGUGAUGACGAGGCACUACGGUGCUGAAGUAACAAAUGCCCUGCUUCCAGGAAAAGCCUCUAAGCAUCAGGUAACAUUAAAUCGUACCCCAAACCGACACAGGUGGUCAGGUAGAGAAUACCAAGGCGCUUGAGAGAACUCGGGUGAAGGAACUAGGCAAAAUGGUGCCGUAACUUCGGGAGAAGGCACGCUGGUGUGUAGGUGAAGUCCCUGCGGAUGGAGCUGAGACCAGUCGAAGAUACCAGCUGGCUGCAACUGUUUAUUAAAAACACAGCACUGUGCAAACACGAAAGUGGACGUAUACGGUGUGACGCCUGCCCGGUGCCGGAAGGUUAAUUGAUGGGGUUAUCCGUAAGGAGAAGCUCUUGAUCGAAGCCCCGGUAAACGGCGGCCGUAACUAUAACGGUCCUAAGGUAGCGAAAUUCCUUGUCGGGUAAGUUCCGACCUGCACGAAUGGCGUAAUGAUGGCCAGGCUGUCUCCACCCGAGACUCAGUGAAAUUGAACUCGCUGUGAAGAUGCAGUGUACCCGCGGCAAGACGGAAAGACCCCGUGAACCUUUACUAUAGCUUGACACUGAACAUUGAGCCUUGAUGUGUAGGAUAGGUGGGAGGCUUUGAAGCGUGGACGCCAGUCUGCGUGGAGCCAACCUUGAAAUACCACCCUUUAAUGUUUGAUGUUCUAACGUUGGCCCCUGACCGGGGUUGCGGACAGUGUCUGGUGGGUAGUUUGACUGGGGCGGUCUCCUCCCAAAGCGUAACGGAGGAGCACGAAGGUUAGCUAAUCCUGGUCGGACAUCAGGAGGUUAGUGCAAUGGCAUAAGCUAGCUUGACUGCGAGCGUGACGGCGCGAGCAGGUGCGAAAGCAGGUCAUAGUGAUCCGGUGGUUCUGAAUGGAAGGGCCAUCGCUCAACGGAUAAAAGGUACUCCGGGGAUAACAGGCUGAUACCGCCCAAGAGUUCAUAUCGACGGCGGUGUUUGGCACCUCGAUGUCGGCUCAUCACAUCCUGGGGCUGAAGUAGGUCCCAAGGGUAUGGCUGUUCGCCAUUUAAAGUGGUACGCGAGCUGGGUUUAGAACGUCGUGAGACAGUUCGGUCCCUAUCUGCCGUGGGCGCUGGAGAAUUGAGGGGGGCUGCUCCUAGUACGAGAGGACCGGAGUGGACGCAUCACUGGUGUUCGGGUUGUCAUGCCAAUGGCACUGCCCGGUAGCUAAAUGCGGAAGAGAUAAGUGCUGAAAGCAUCUAAGCACGAAACUUGCCCCGAGAUGAGUUCUCCCUGAGACUUUAAGUCUCCUGAAGGAACGUUGAAGACGACGACGUUGAUAGGCCGGGUGUGUAAGCGCAGCGAUGCGUUGAGCUAACCGGUACUAAUGAACCGUGAGGCUUAACCUUACAACGCCGAAG